rnacentral:rRNA from 1 species
UAAGACGUACCACCCAAACGUUAUUCGGAAUCACUGGGCUUACAGAGUCCGUAGGCGGCUCGGAAAGUUGGGCGUGAAAUACCUCAGCUCAACUGAGGAAUAGCGCUCAAAACUACCGAGCUGGAGAGAGACAGAGGUGAGCGGAACUGAUGGUGGAGCGGUGAAAUGCGUUGAUAUCAUCAGGAACACCGGUGGCGAAGGCGGCUCACUGGGUCUUUUCUGACGCUGAGGGACGAAAGCUAGGGUAGCGAACGGGAUUAGAUACCCCGGUAGUCCUAGCCUUAAACGAUGAGCACUAGAUCGAGGGGACCCUCACAUCCUCUUGGUCGUAGGGAAACUGUUAAGUGCUCCGCCUGGGGAGUAUGGUCGCAAGGCUG